CCGAUCCAGACCACAAGAAGCCUCAGCUCUCUGGGAUGGACCACAGGCCAGGGUUGCACCUGGCUCAGAAACAAGCUCCAAACGGCACGGGACACUCCUUCCUGCACGUGGACCGCGCGAGUGCAAUUAGAAUCCCUGGAUUCAAGAUGUUUUCAGGAGGAACCAUUCCAGCUGGCGCUAACCCCGGCCAGCCCACAGCGCAGACGCCAAAACAGGCACCACGUGGUUCCGGCGCCGGGGCGGGGCCAGAGACGCCGGAAGUGGCCGCGCGACCUAGGCCCAGCCGGGCGGAUCACGCUCAGACCAUGGCGACCCAGGCGAAGCGCCCACGGGUAAGUGGUGGGCGCGGGUUCCAGCCUUCUCCUCCGUACCUCACCCCUUCUCUGCCCGCAGGGCCGUCCGUGUGCCCCCUCUCCGCUCCCUCCCGCGGGUCCCGCGCCCCUCUCCGUUUGUCCCCCCCUUUCCCCGAAAGCCCGUUCUGCGCACGCGCCGCGGUCACCUCUGGUUCUCAGCGGGCCUUCGGGGGCCGGGCCUGGUCACUGCGCGUACUUAUCUCAGGUGGCGGGGCCCAUGGCUUGCGGAGACCCGGAUCCUGUGGCCGGCUUCUUGAGCUGGUGCCGGCGGGUGGGGCUGGAGUUGAGCCCCAAGGUGAGCGAGCGGGCGGGCGAGCAGGCGGGCGGAGGACCCACAGUGGAACGCGGGCUGCCCUGACCAGCCCUCUCCCUGCUCAGGUGGAGGUCAGCCGGCAGGGCACGGUGGCCGGUUACGGCAUGGUGGCCCGAGAGAGCGUGCAGGCUGGAGAGCUGCUGUUCGUGGUGCCGCGUGCGGCGAUCCUGUCGCCGCACACCUGCUCCAUCGGCGGCCUGCUGGAGCGAGAGCGAGGUGCGCUGCAGAGCCAGUCGGGCUGGGUGCCACUGCUGCUGGCACUGCUGCACGAGCUGCAGGCCGCGGCCUCACACUGGAGGCCGUACUUUGCGCUCUGGCCCGAGCUGGGCCACUUGGAGCACCCUAUGUUCUGGCCAGAGGAGGAGCGCCGGCGCCUGCUGCAGGGCACAGGCGUACCUGAGGCCGUGGAGAAGGAUUUGGACAGCAUCCGUAGCGAGUACCACUCGAUUGUGCUGCCCUUUAUGGAAGCCCACCCCGAUCUCUUCAGCCUCAGGGUUCACUCCCUAGAACUCUACCUCCAGCUCGUGGCCCUUGUGAUGGCCUAUAGCUUUCAGGAACCACUGGAGGAAGAGGAAGAUGAAAAGGAGCCCAACUCCCCCAUUAUGGUGCCCGCUGCAGACAUACUAAACCACUUAGCCAAUCACAAUGCCAAUCUGGAAUACUCUGCGUUCAGGGUCUAACAGGAAAUUAUGGUAGAACUUUGGUAGUUAACAGCACCUGCUGAAGGCUCUUCAGAGGAAGUAAUGUUUCUGGGACCGGCCUGUGAAAGGCAUGCCCCCAGCUUCUCCCUUUCACCUCAGGAUUGUCUUCGGAUGGUAGCCACUCAGCCCAUUCCUAAAGGCCAUGAGAUUUUCAACACGUACGGGCAAAUGGCUAACUGGCAGCUGAUUCAUAUGUAUGGUUUUGUUGAACCAUAUCCUAACAACACAGAUGACACAGCUGACAUUCAGAUGGUGACAGUUCGUGAGGCAGCAUUACAGGGAACAAAAACUGAAGCUGAAAGGCUCCUAAUGUAUGAACGCUGGGAUUUCCUAUGCAAACUGGAGAUGGUAGGGGAAGAGGGAGCUUUUGUGAUAGGGAGGGAGGAGGUGCUGACUGAAGAGGAGCUGACCACCACACUAAAGGUACUGUGCAUGCCUGCUGAAGAGUUCAGAGAGUUUAAAGACCAGGAUGGAGGGGGAGAUGAGAAAAGGGGAGACGGCAGCCUGACUAUCACAAACAUUCCUAAGCUCAAAGCAUCGUGGAGACAGCUGCUUCGAAACAGCAUUCUAUUGACCCUGCAAACCUAUGCCACAGACUUAAAAACUGACAAAGAUGUACUCAGCAAUAAGGAGGCCUACGCUAAACUCAGCUGGAGGGAACAGCAAGCCUUACAGGUUCGCUAUGGUCAGAAGAUGAUCUUACAUCAGUUGUUGGAAAUGACAAGUUAGUAGUUUCCCUGUUCCCUGAAGGAACAGCAAUAAGAACUUUAAUACUUAUCUUUGAAAGAGAGGAAAACUUGGAUCUUAUUAAACACCAAAAGGGAAAGACGCAAAGGUGGGUGUACCAGGAUAAACUGAGGUAAGGGUGGAUAUGUUUUAAGGAUUGAGAACAGCAGACUUGGCAAUCACUGCUAAUUGUUACUUAACACAUGUUACAACUAUUUAGUUUUAACCAAAGCCAGUGGAAAUGCGGUAAUAGGUCUUGUGUUCCAGAGCAUUUUAUAUAUAUAUAUAUGGACAGACUUUGGAGGUAGACCCUAUUUUAAAUGUAAGUCUAGUUUGAGGAAGUCACUUAACCUUUAAAAGACUCUCAGGAUUUAGGCCGGGCGCG